rnacentral:rRNA from 1 species
AUUGAACGCUGGCGGAAUGCUUUACACAUGCAAGUCGAACGGCAGCACGGGGCAACCUGGUGGCGAGUGGCGAACGGGUGAGUAAUACAUCGGAACGUGCCCAAUCGUGGGGGAUAACGUAGCGAAAGUUACGCUAAUACCGCAUACGAUCUACGGAUGAAAGCGGGGGAUCGCAAGACCUCGCGCGAGUGGAGCGGCCGAUGUCAGAUUAGGUAGUUGGUGGGGUAAAGGCUCACCAAGCCAACGAUCUGUAGCUGGUCUGAGAGGACGACCAGCCACACUGGAACUGAGACACGGUCCAGACUCCUACGGGAGGCAGCAGUGGGGAAUUUUGGACAAUGGGCGCAAGCCUGAUCCAGCCAUUCCGCGUGCAGGAUGAAGGCCUUCGGGUUGUAAACUGCUUUGUACGGUAACGAAACGGCGAGCUCUAAUACAGUUUGCUAAUGACGGUACCGUAAGAAUAAGCACCGGCUAACUACGUGCCAGCAGCCGCGGUAAA